rnacentral:lncRNA from 10 species
CUUAAAUCCUACCUUUCUAAUCCCUGACUGGCUACAUAGCCACAAAAUCAGAUUACAUCGUGAUUAGGAAAAAAUUUACACAUGCAUAAGCCAUGUCACAACAGAUCACUGUUCUUGCCAAAUAUUUCCUACAUAGCUUGUAAACCUCUUAGGUAUUUGCUACUGCACAGGUUGCUGACAGGAUACAAAGAAAAUACAAGUUCUUGGCCUCUGUAUAUUGGGCUUCCCUACACAGGGUGAGUCCCCGCCCAGCCUCUGUACCAGGCCCCAUGCUGGCUGACCACACCUCUGCUCAUCACACUUGGGGCUGCAGCCAUGCCUGUGCUGAUCUGGGACUUGGCACUCAAAUCUGGAGAGUCUCAAUCCUGGGAUCAACCUGCAAAUGUCAACCCACAAUUGGUAGAGAGAAUAUUCAACUGGGUCUGACCUAAUCACAUGAGCACUUAGAAGGAAAGUUGUCUCUGGCUAGGAACAAAAGAAUGAGACAAGAAUGCACUCCUGCUAGCCUGGAAGAAAGCAGACACUCAUGUUGUGAACACCUGAUGGAGGGGGGCAGUCUCUUGGAGCUGAGAGCAGUCCUCAGCCAACAGCUAGCAGGGAAAUAAAGACUUCAUUUCUACAAACAUUGGAAAAUGAAUUCUACCAACCAUUCGAAUGAAGUUGGAAUUGGAUUCUUCCCCAGAGCCUCCAAAAAGGAAGACAACCCAGCUGAUUCUCUGAUUUGAGCCUUGCGAGACUCUGAGGAGAAAGUCCAGUGAGUCUCUGUGCCUGAACGUCUCACCUACGGAA